UAUCUUAUUAUCACCACUGGACUCUUUCCGAAAUGGAGGGAAAAGCUUUUAUUAUAAUGUGCAUUUUUAUUGCAACAGUCCACGCGCAAAGUUCAACAACUCAGUCCACAGUAGAUUCAACAACCGACACCUCUGCAACACCCACAGCUACAAUGACGUCUUCAACAACCACUACAACUCUUGCUGAAUCAUCCACUACUACUGCAGGAGUUACCACGACAGCACCACAAACUACUUUUACAACAGCUGAAUCCUCCACAACAGCUACAACAACAGCAGAUCCUUCAACAACCACUACAACUAUUGCUGAAACAUCCACUACUACUGCAGGAGUUACCACAACAGCACGACAAACUACUGUUACAACAGCUGAAUCCUCCACAACAGCUACAACAACAGCAGUUCCUUCAACAACCACUACAACUCUUGCUGAAUCAACCACUACUACUGCAGGAGUUACCACGAUACCACCACAAUCUACAGUAACAACAACUGAAUCCUCCACAACAUCAGUUCCCUCAACAAGCACUACAACUCUUACUGAAGCAUCCACUACUACUGCAGGAGUUACCACGACAGCACCACAAACUACUUUUACAACAGCUGAAUCCUCCACAACAGCUACAACAACAGCAGAUCCUUCAACAACCACUACAACUAUUGCUGAAACAUCCACUACUACUGCAGGAGUUACCACAACAGCACGACAAACUACUGUUACAACAGCUGAAUCCUCCACAACAGCUACAACAACAGCAGUUCCUUCAACAACCACUACAUUUCUUGCUGAAUCAUCCACUACUACUGCAGGAGUUACCACGACAGCACCACAAUCUACUGUUACAACAACUGAAUCCUCCACAACAGCAGUUCCCUCAACAACCACUACAACUCUUGUUGAAGUAUCCACUACUACUGCAGGAGUUAUCAUGACAGAACCACAAACUACUGUUACAACAGCAGAAUCCUCCACAACAGCUACAACAACAGCAGCAGUUCCCUCAACAACCACUACAACUCUUGCUGAAUCAUCCACCACUACUGCAGGAACAACCACAACAGCCCCACAAACUACUGUUACAACAGCAGAAUCCUCCACAACAGCUACGACAACAGCAGUGCCCCCAACAACCAUUACAACUCUUGCAGAAUCAUCCACUACUACUGUAGGAGUUACCACAACAGCACCACAAACUACUGUUGCAACAGCAGAAUCCUCCACAACAGCUACAACAACAGCAGUGCCAUCAACAACCACUACAACUCUUGCUGAAUCACCCACCACUACUGCAGGAACAACCACAACAGCCACACAAUCUACUGUUACAACAGCAGAAUCCUCCACAACCGCUACAACAACAGCAGGUGCAAGAACAACCACCACAACUCUAACUGAAGCAUCCACAACUACUGCAGGAGGUACCACGACAGCACCACAAUCUACUGUUACAACAACUGAAUCCUCCACAACAGCAGUUCCCUCAACAACCACUACAACUCUAGCUGAAUCACCCACCACCACUGCAGGAACAACCACAACAGCCCCACAAACUACUGAUACAACAGCAGAAUCCUCCACAACAUCUACAACAACAACAACAGUGCCCUCAACAACCAUUACAACUCUUGCAGAAACAUACACUACUACUGUAAAAGUUACCAAAACAGCACCACAAACUACUGUUACAACAGUUGA
ensembl:lncRNA